UGGCAAGUCUUACACGGACAGCUCCUAAUAAAUCCCCCAGGGUCGGAAGGCAGCAAGGGUAGUUGGUCGUAGCGUCGCGAUGUAAGUAACUUGCCUUUU
rnacentral:SRP_RNA from 1 species